rnacentral:rRNA from 1 species
AAUAGGCUAAUUAAGAGCGUAAGGGGAAUGCCUUGGCUCUCAGAGGCGAUGAAGGACGUGAUAAGCUGCGAUAAGCUUUGGGGAGUGGCACAAACACUUUGAUCCGAAGAUUUCCGAAUGGGGCAACCCGGCAUAUUGAAGAUAUGUCACACUGUAAAGUGAGCAAACCUGGUGAACUGAAACAUCUAAGUAACCAGAGGAAUAGAAAACAAAAGUGAUUCCGCUAGUAGUGGCGAGCGAACGUGGAACAGCCCAAACCUAUGUUGUUACGGCAAUAUAGGGGUUGUAGGACCUCAACAUUUAAUGCUAAAAGAACUAGAAUUUACUGG